GAUCAUUAGUGAAUAUAGGACGUCCAACUUAACUUGGAGUCCGAACUCUCACUUUCUAACCCUGUGCACUUGUUUGGGAUAGUAACUCUCGCAAGAGAGCGAACUCCUAUUCACUUAUAAACACAAAGUCUAUGAAUGUAUUAAAUUUUAUAACAAAAUAAAACUUUCAACAACGGAUCUCUUGGCUCUCGCAUCGAUGAAGAACGCAGCGAAAUGCGAUAAGUAAUGUGAAUUGCAGAAUUCAGUGAAUCAUCGAAUCUUUGAACGCACCUUGCGCUCCAUGGUAUUCCGUGGAGCAUGCCUGUUUGAGUGUCAUGAAUACUUCAACCCUCCUCUUUCUUAAUGAUUGAAGAGGUGUUUGGUUUCUGAGCGCUGCUGGCCUUUACGGUCUAGCUCGUUCGUAAUGCAUUAGCAUCCGCAAUCGAACUUCGGAUUGACUUGGCGUAAUAGACUAUUCGCUGAGGAAUUCUAGUCUUCGGAUUAGAGCCGGGUUGGGUUAAAGGAAGCUUCUAAUCAGAAUGUCUACAUUUUAAGAUUAGAUCUCAAAUCAGGUAGGACUACCCGCUGAACUUAAGCAUAUCAAUAAGCGGAGGAAAAGAAACUAACAAGGAUUCCCCUAGUAGCGGCGAGCGAAGCGGGAAGAGCUCAAAUUUAUAAUCUGGCACCUUCGGUGUCCGAGUUGUAAUCUCUAGAAAUGUUUUCCGCGUUGGACCGCACACAAGUCUGUUGGAAUACAGCGGCAUAGUGGUGAGACCCCCGUAUAUGGUGCGGACGCCCAGCGCUUUGUGAUACAUUUUCGAAGAGUCGAGUUGUUUGGGAAUGCAGCUCAAAUUGGGUGGUAAAUUCCAUCUAAAGCUAAAUAUUGGCGAGAGACCGAUAGCGAACAAGUACCGUGAGGGAAAGAUGAAAAGCACUUUGGAAAGAGAGUUAACAGUACGUGAAAUUGUUGGAAGGGAAACGCUUGAAGUCAGACUUGCUUGCCGAGCAAUCGGUUUGCAGGCCAGCAUCAGUUUUCCGGGAUGGAUAAUGGUAGAGAGAAGGUAGCAGUUUCGGCUGUGUUAUAGCUCUCUGCUGGAUACAUCUUGGGGGACUGAGGAACGCAGUGUGCCUUUGGCGGGGGUUUCGACCUCUUCACACU
rnacentral:rRNA from 1 species